AAUUUUCAACCCAGGGAUGAGUUCAACCCCGGGGUUGAAAUUUCAACCCUGCUAGCUGAAGCAGGGUUGAAAUUUCAACCCCGGGGUUGAACUCAGCGCUGGGUUGAAAA
rnacentral:miRNA from 1 species